rnacentral:rRNA from 1 species
CCCUAUCGAGCUUUACUGGAUACCGAUAGCGUUAAUUUAGAAUGAUCGAUACUAAGUAUCCUAAUUCUAAGUUAAUAAUUUUUGUUGGUAGGACAGUUUAGUUGGGGCGACUACCUUUGAAUAAGAAACGAAGGCGAGCUUAUGGUAUUAUUUAAAAUCUCAUUAGCCUCACAGUGAGGGGGACACCCCUAGCUGGCACACCCCAAAAGGACAUUUGUCCCCACCUAAGGGAUGUGGGCGAUAGUGACCCGAUAUGAUUAUCCAAAAUAAAUAUCGAAAGCGGAUAAAAGCUACCGUAGGG